AAGGGGUCGAGGUGCUAGAAAGUGUUUGGCGUCGUGAAGGAAAUACCUGCCAACGUAGAGAAGGGUCGACGGGAUCUUGGAAUUGAUGAGGUGAUACCUUCCUUUACUCUUGGGAAACUGCAGUCUGCGGAUGAAGCUUGUCCUGGCAAGGGCACCUGGAGCCACUCCUAAUAAACUCCUGGAAUAUCUCCUCAAAGUUUGGGAAAAAAUGAUGCCUACAGUAAAUGAGGUGGAGAUGAUGGAAAUUCCUCGUCAGAGGAAGGGAUCAAAGGCUCAGAAAGGCAGGCCUGUUAGAACUGACUUAUUUGUGCAACACCAAAGAAUCACCAGAUGACUAUGUUUCUCAGGAAGGGCCUCCCCAAAGCCUGGGAUCCAUGACCACUAUGCUAAGAACUCCUGGAUGAAAAUCUUCCUUACAGAAUGUUCACAGUGGAAAAUAAAUGGCAGGGAAGCUUGGAUACCGUGGACAUCUGAAGUGACCAAGGACCACCAGGUGGCAGCAGAGUCUCAACUAAACUGUCCACCAACUUGGGCACCAAGUCAGCUCCUCGACCACAGCAGAUGACCUCACAUCCUCCUUUGUCUGGAAGACUGGGACCAUCCAUCCAGUCCUCCUCUGCAGGCCCUCUCCGCUGUAGACAGAGCACAAGACCUACAGAGUCCUCCAUGGUACAUUUCUUGAGCUGAAUGGGAAAGACAUCAGAAAUUUCAUCCUUUUCAAGGCAAAGUAAGAAAACAGAUAGCCUACAUCUCAUCUCAGAAUCAACUUACUACUCUGAAUGAUAUGUUACUCUCUUAGUCAGCUCGGGCUGACAAAAUAACACAGCCUGGGUGGCUUAAUCAAUAGACAUUUAUCCUCACGGUUCUGGAGGCCAGGAAGUCCAAGGUCAAGGUGCCAGCCAAUUCGGUUGCUGGUGAACAUCUUCUUCCUGGUUUGCAGACAGCCACCUUCUCCUUAUGUUCUUAUGUGGUUUUUCCUUGGGUGCAUACAGAGCGAGAAAGAGGUCUCUCUCUCUCCUCUUCUUAUAAGGCCACCAAUCCCAUCAUGAGGGCUUCACCUUCAUGAUCUAAUCUAACUCCUAUGGCCUCAUCUACAAAUACCAUCACAUUGGGGAUUAGGGUCUCGGCAUAUGAAUUUGGGGGACACAAAUAUUUAGUCCAGAACAGUUACAAAUGUUGAUGGCUAGAGUGUUUCCUAACUUAGUACUGGGGUGGCAGCUCUUACAAAUCUCAUCUGCAAAGACAGUGCUUUCAAACUUUUCAUUGAAAAAUUCACAAACUAACAUAAAAUCUAUUCUGUCCAAUUUUAAUUGACCUUGUUCUUCCUGUGCAAUGAUUUCUGAUUCAUUUAUUCAGUCAUUCAAUUAGUGAAUACUUAACUGACUUGAGCCAAGACUCCUAACUACUACCUACUGCCAAGUACAGACAUGUGAUGAUGAAGCACAUUUGUGGCAGAUAAAGAAUAUUUGACAAGAAGAAUCAUUCAUCCAGAACUUGUCAGACUCCCCCUUCAGCACUAUGGAAAGAGAAUCAAAUCACUGGCCCACAGGCAUAGGCCAGUGUGCUCAGCUGGGUGCUCAGUCAAGAGGUAAGUGCCUCAGGCUAAAGUUUUUUAUAAUCUUAAUAACUAUAAAGUUAUUAUAAUUGCUCCCGAUAUUCAAGUAGUUUUCAAAGGCUUUCUAUCUAAUGAAAAGAUAAUGUGUGACUAGCAGAUACAUGUAUGUUCUAGACUGCAUGAUGGGUACCUCUCUCAGAGCAGUCACUUAGAAUCCUGCCCCAUUUAUCUGUUUGUUAUGAACUAGAUUAUUAUGGAUUAUCCCAACUCAGAUCACUCCUGAGUAAACUAACAAAGAUGAACUUUUAAAUAUGCAACACUGUAGACUAGACCUUGGCUUCAAAAUGACCUCACCAAUGCGCUGGCUGGCAUCCUCGAAGGUUCAGCUUGAUCCUUCUUGUCUCUUAAAGCUAUCAGUACUAAAUUAAAGACA